rnacentral:pre_miRNA from 1 species
ACUUAUGGAUAAACUAAGAAAGUGGUUUCUUGAAAUGGAAUCUACUCCUAGUGAAGAUGCUGUGAA